rnacentral:rRNA from 1 species
GAACGAUGACGAAACAGCUUGCUGUUUCUGAUUAGUGGCGGACGGGUGAGUAAUGUAUAGGGAUCUGCCUGACAGUGGGGGACAACAGCCGGAAACGGCUGCUAAUACCGCAUACGCUCUACGGAGGAAAGUGGGGGACCUUUCGGGGCCUCACGCUGACAGAUGAACCUAUAUCAGAUUAGCUAGUUGGUGGGGUAAUGGCUUACCAAGGCGACGAUCUGUAGCUGGUCUGAGAGGAUGAUCAGCCACACUGGGACUGAGACACGGCCCAGACUCCUACGGGAGGCAGCAGUGGGGAAUAUUGGACAAUGGGGGCAACCCUGAUCCAGCAAUGCCGCGUGUGUGAAGAAGGCCUUCGGGUUGUAAAGCACUUUCAAUAGGGAGGAAAAGCUAUGCGUUAAUAGCGUAUAGCCGUGA